rnacentral:rRNA from 1 species
UACGUAGGGUGCGAGCGUUGUCCGGAAUUACUGGGCGUAAAGCGCACGUAGGCGGUUUGUUAAGUCAGGGGUGAAAUCCCGGAGCUCAACUCCGGAACUGCCUUUGAUACUGGCAAGCUAGAGUCCGGAAGAGGUAAGUGGAACUCCUAGUGUAGAGGUGGAAUUCGUAGAUAUUAGGAAGAACACCAGUGGCGAAGGCGGCUUACUGGUCCGGAACUGACGCUGAGGUGCGAAAGCGUGGGGAGCAAACAGG